AUACUUACCUGGCGUCGAGGUUACCAUGAUCAGUUUGGUGGUUCCUCCAGAACAAGGUCUAUCCAUUGCACUAAGGGUAGAUUGACUUCUGUGAAAGUCCCAGAUGUGGAUAUCUCUGGCGUACAAUUCC
rnacentral:snRNA from 1 species